rnacentral:lncRNA from 10 species
GUAAAGUAUUUUACCCCAAAAUAUAUUUCUUUGAUAUAUUUUGAAAUGGCUUGACCAAGCUGUCUCUUGUGGGGAAUAUCUACAUUCUGCAGAGAAUCCCCUUUUCUUUCCAGAUCUUCUUCCUGAUCCAAGAGAGCAUUAACUAAGAAUCUGGAACCUUUUUUAAGUCUUCUAGGAAACAUUUGCAAUCUGUUCUCUCUGAAGCCUGCUACCUGGACGCUUCAUCUGCAUAAUAAGAACCCUGUUCUCCACAACCCCUUAUCUUAACACAGUUAAGAUGCCAUAUGAUAAUGAUGCAAGACAGACCUGGAUUAAAGCCCACCCCUCUAUAUCACUCAAGCUGUGUGAUCAUGAGAGCCUCAUCUAUAAAACAGAGGGAAUAAAGUCUACUUCCAAUGCUUGUGACUGGAUGACAUAAUGUAUAUAUCUCCUAAUUUUACAUUCACCAGUUAGAUGUCCCAUAAGCAUACACUGAGUGCUCAAAAAAUUCACUACUUAACACACUUUAAUUGAGCAUAUACUAUGUGCCAAAGAUUGUAUUAGGUAUGAGGAUAUAAAAUUAAAUAAGACAAGGUCAUUGAACUUAUAAUUUAGUAUAGGAGGCAGGCUAAUGAAUACUACUACUAAUAAAUAUACAUAGGGGAAUAGUUUCCAAAUUAAACUGGAGAUUUGAGGGUUUCCAAAGGAAGUAAUGCUUGAGCUAAAUUUGAAAGAUACGGGUAGACAAUACAAAAAAAAAAAAAGGUUCUAUGCAUUUCAGGAAUACAUGUGGAAUCAUGUGACCUGCUU